GGUUUGCACAGAGAAGACAGGAGGUGGGACUGAGGUUAAGGUGGACAUUGUAGAUAUGUCCUAGUUCUCCUUUCAUCAAAGUCCUGUUUGGUGGAAUUUCCUGUUUGGAAGCUGAAUGACAAAGCUCUGGUGUGAUUGGUGCUUAGUGAGUCUGGUGGAACUUACUGACUAUAAGAACAGGAUUUCUAGAUCUGACAGUUGAUACCCUCCAGAGUAAGAGUGAAGACUCCCAGUGACCACACAGGAAGUCAUGAAGAGGCAUCUGGGAGCUCUGCUGGGGCUUCUGUGGGCCCAGGCUUGCUGGGUGAGAGGAGUGAAGGUGGAGCAGAGACCUUCAGCUCUGAGCCUCCAGGAGGGAACCAGCUCUACCCUGAGGUGCAAUUAUUCUACCACUGUGAACAAUGUGCAGUGGUUCCGACAGAAUCCUGGAGGAGGCCUCAUCAGUCUAUUUUUCAUUGCUACAGGGACAAAGCAGAGUGGAAGGUUAAAGUCCACAAUUAAUUCUAAGGAACUCUAUAGUACCCUACACAUCAUGCCCUCCCAGCUGGAAGACUCAGCCACCUACCUCUGUGCAGUGGAGACACAGUGCUCCCAGCUCCCACAUUAUCCAGAGGAGGACUGAGUCAACUGGGAAUGUGAUGAAGCAGCUCCAGCUUGACAUACACGUGGUCCUUUGAGUACCCAUGACAUUUCUGCAGCUACAGUAACCACCAGUCUCCAAGAAAGAGCCGGUUUAAGCUAAUUACAGAAAAAUCUUCUGGCAAAUAUCCUGCCUCUCUAGUAUCUGAACUGGAUAGCCAUCUCCAAAGACACUCCCACUGACUAACAUCCUGGCUUCAUAGCAUCUGAACUGGCCUGCAGUGCUCAAAGACACACCACCCAAAACCACCCUUAACAAUGAUCUACCCCUCCCAGGGCAGCUCAAGUCCCAUAUAACCCAUAUAGGCUGUUCUCUAAAUCCCAACCCAUUAGCAGGUGCUUCUUUCUGGCUCUGUUCCACAUGCAUGCUUGCUCUUGCUCAAUAAAACCCAUAUUAUUAUGUUAGUGGCAAAUACCUUUUAUGUUUUUCCUUUUGGGAAGAUGCAACUUCAGUUCCUAGGUUUUUGGCUGCUUUAAGUUUUAUAUGACAAAUUAGGAAAAUCUUACAGGGAACCCACUGAGACUUGAUGGAGGCACAGACUAAGUAGUUGGAGUGGGAAUGGA